CUAAAUUGCCUUUAAUAUUGUCUUCAAGUAAGAACAAAAAUAUUAUCUCCUUGGUGCUGUGCUGUCUACCCAUUUUUCUCCCUUUGGUGAGUGAUCAAUGUUGCUUUUCUCUUUUUCUCUGUUACUUGGCUUUCCUCUGGUCAAAGUUCUUCCUGUAACUGCUAAUCUAGGGGGAAAAAAGACUAAGGCACUUAGCUCUUCCAGCUGUAAUUUGCAAUUUCUUUUCCUUCCAGUCUAGGAAACUGAGGCCGAAUAUUUGGUUUUAAUUUAAACAAAUCAGGGAUGGAUUUGAAGGCCCAAGUUUGGGACACUGUGUUGCGUUGGGUGUUAACGCAACAUCGUCUCAUCUACAAAAUGGAGAGAAUCUCUGAGCUGGUGGGACUGUUGUGAGCGCUCCAAUAUGCGUCAUCCAAGGGCCACUGUUAGGAUUUUUACCAACUCAUCUCAGAACAUAUCUUAGAUGAUGAUAAUAAUAAUAAUAAUAAUAAUAAUAAUAAUAAUAAUAACAAUGUAGCAAUAAUAAGGGAAGCGAACAUUUGAUGAGCUCCUUUCUGCUAGGCUCCGUGGUAAGUGCUUUACGUGGUUUAUCUCAUUUAAUCCUCAUAAAAUCCUUACAAAGACCAGAAUUUCCCCUGCUUUCCAGAUGAGCAAAGCUCAGCUGAGAGAUCUGGUGACCGGCCCAAGGUAAGAGACCUAGGAAGUGGGAAUUUGGAAUGCGAACUCAGGCUGCCUGGUUGUAAAGCCCACAGUCCUAAGUGUGCGCAACACUGUUCACGAUCGGGAUUCCUCUAUUCCACAGUCACGUGUUGGACCCUCGGCUGGGAGAGAACAGUGAACAAGCCACGGGGUGUCCCUUCCCUCAUGUUACCUAAGAAUUGCCCUUCCACGUCCGCUUGGGACCUGGAGAGGAACUUGGGACAUGCCUAUUCCAGAGUGAAACGCUGCCGCUCACUUGCUCUGUUGUUUUCUUCUGUUCCCUUCCACUUGCUGAGCUUCAAAAUUUCCAUGUUUAAACAAUGGAGGGAUUCAGGUAGAGGACUGAUCGGGAGGAAAGGCCCUUCUGCACUGAUCUUUCAUAGUGUUUCCAGUAUUCAGCUGCCUGGAGUUACUGAAUAACCAGCAACGGCCCCUGAAAAUCAGAUGUGUGAGCCCAAAGAGAGCAUUAGUCUUUUCUAUCUCAGACCAUCGCUGGGGCUGCGCAUACCAGCAGUGGUCCCAAUAGAAGGGAAUUUGACUUCCCUGUUUUUCAGUUGGAACUUGGAUCACUGUUUGGCUUUGCUCCCAGUGGCCCCAUCAGCUCACCAUGGGAGGCACUUUACAGUUUCUCUGCACUUUUGCAGCAAGCUCUCUGAGCCUUUCACGGCAACUUCGGGCGAGGGAUUAUUGAGUUCAUUUUAUAGAAAAGGAAACGGACUUUGUCAGGGAAAAGUGAUUUGCCCAAGGACGCAGAGCUUAUGUGGGGCCGAAGUCAGGGCUGAAACCACUUCUGAUCUCUCUAUUCUAACAGAGUGCUUUCUUCCUCCUCUUCUUUAAAUUUAUUUUAUUUCUAAAUAUACAAAUUAUCUAUUUUUAGACUAUAUAAAUAAUGGGCUAUCCAAAUAAUGUAUUUAUGCAAUCCAUCUCUGUUAUAAAAAGUUCUAAUAAUAUAGAUACAGCGAAAUAUCCUUGACUCUAACUGAAUCCCACGCCCCUCCCAAGAAUUGCCCUUAUCACCUGCCUUAUAUAAUUCAAGAACGUGUUCUGCAUAUUUACAUAUGUACAAAUAUACAUCUAAACACAUAUGUUUGCUUUGGUUCUUAUAUAUAAAUGAGGCUGUAUAUAAUAAUCUGCAACUUGCCUUUUUCAACAGUACGCCUUAUACAUCAUUUCACAUCAACACGUGAUUCUUCAUUCUUUUUAGUUGUGUGUGCAUUUCACAGGAUAGACGUUGUGUAGUUUGCAGUGUUAUUUCUUUUAUGUUCUAGCAGCAUCCCACGUCUGAGUGGGGCGUUUGAAGCCUGCAGCAGAAAAUCAGCAGCCUCCGUUUUUCUGGCACUGUGCUAACCAUUUGAGGGUCAGCUGGAGUGGUUCCAAGCUUAGGCGGCAGCAGCCACUGUGACUUGGCGGCUUCCCUGUGGGGAAGGCCAGCCCUUGCAUGGGCCUCACCUGGCCCCCUCCCUCCCUUUGAGGGACCGAGACUCUGCUCAAGUUGCACAAGCUGUGGGGUCAGAUUGAUGACAUCCUGCUUCCACCACACCCCUUCUGAGAUGUGUGUUUCUGAGCAGGAUCUUUAACCUGCUAAGCCCUAAUUUCCCCAACAGUAAAGCAGGGGACGUAGUGAUCAGACACUUUACAGUGUUCGCAUGAGGAUGUACGGAAAGCACUUGGUAAACGCUUUCAAAAAUUCUUUAUUUCCUCUUAAAGGUCUCACCAGUUCUCUCUGCUUCCUAGCAUCCUGGGAUAUGGUCUAAGGAACAUAAAAGUUAUGGAAAGAUUAGUUAAAAAACAAACAAAAAUAGAGGGAAUUACAGUGGAAGCAAUACUACCUCCACUCGCGUCACAUUUUCCAGUUUACUGAAGGCUGUCAUUGGACCGUCACAACUGCCCUGGGGGGUGGAUAUAUUAUUUGUUGUUACCAUUUUAUAGAUGAAGAACCUGAGGCUCCAGAAUAGAGGCGGCGACCACCUCCAGGUCACUCAGCAGUCGUCUGAGGGAGUCAGAUCUGAAGCCAGGUCUUCUGAUUCCAAAUAUGAAGACCCCGUAAGAACUGUGGUGCCAGCUGUUGUUCAGAGAUUGUUAGGACUCAUACACCUGACAGCACCAUGAGAGAGACAUGAGUCUCUCUCCAACAGUGACAUUAAUUCAGUAAUCCAUCAAGGAAACGUUUCUUAAGUCCUUUUCAAGAUGUGCCAGACACUGCGCCACAGGCCAGGGACACAUAAUUGAGUGGACAAACAGGACAAUUCAAUUCUCUAUGGCAAGCGUGGGCCAACUGCGGCCUGGUGGCCAGAUCCUCCAGCCUGUAAAGUAAGAAUGGUUUUUGUUUUUUUAAGCGGUUGGGAAAUAAAAAAUAUUUUGUGACAUGUGAAAUUCAAAUUUAUGCCUAUACAUAAAGUUUUAUUGUAACAUGGCCCCACCGAUUCACUGACGCGUCUUCUAUGGCUCUUUCACACUCCAACGGCAGGGUUGAGUAGUUGUCAUAGUUGAG
rnacentral:lncRNA from 1 species